rnacentral:tRNA from 1 species
AGGGAUGUAGCUCAGUUGGUAGAGUGCUUGCCUAGCAUGCACAAGGCCCUGGGUUCAAACCCUGGCACCUCCC